UUGCCUCUUUCUUGGGGUGGAUUUCACUGCUGAUGCUCCCCUCACUGGCCAAGAAUACUUCUGCCCGUGCCAUCCAGGUUGAGUGGGUGGCAGGGGAGGCCACCAUGAAUUCCAUCAGACUGGCAACGAACACUAGUUGCCGAACUCCAGGCAAGGUGGGAAUCUCUUUGGAUCUGUGGCCUCGUCUGCACCACGGAGGGCAUAACAGGAAGUUCACAGCUUGGCUGCUCAUCAGCUGUGUGAUGUGGGGGUGUAAAUACUUCUAAGGCAAGGCAGAUUUUCUUUGGGUCUCCUCCUGGGAAUAGGCUUCCCAUGCGGCAUGACCCUACUCUGGGUCUUCAUUUCUUCUUGGUGACGUUAGGGGACAGAAAUAGACAAUCUCGAAGGUGUCCUCAAUGAUUUCAUCAUUUCAUGUACAAAUUUCCUUUACACUUGCCACAGACAAGCCUGGCUCCCGUAAGCACACACCCUGGCAAGCACCCUGACAUGCCCUCACACCCUCCGUGUCCAUCUACGCUGGAGAAGCAGGGCCCCCUGUCCUGCAGGGUGGGCUUUCAGACCCUGCCUGCUGGCAUCCUGCCAGGGUUAGGAGGUGCAUCUGAGAAAUGGCUCCAGCCCUGAUCAGCACCCCCUUCUAUGAAGGCCUCCUGGAUGGAGGUGAGGGUGCUUCAUAUGAUGGGUGGGUCACCCACUAUUAUUGAAAAUAUAUGGUGUGGGAGUUUCUGUUGCAGCUCAGUGGGUUAAGAACCCAACAUAGUAUCUGAGGAUGUGGGUUCAAUCCCUGGCCUCACUCAGUGGGUUAAGAAUAUGGCAUUGCCAUGAGCUGUGGUGUAGGUCACAGAUGCGGUUCCAAUUCAACCCCUAGGCUGGGAACUUCCAUAUGCUGUACAUGCAACCCUAAAAAGCAAAUUAAAAAAAAAAAAAAAAAAAGGAAAAGACAGAAAAUACAUGAUGACUUCAUGGGAAGGAGCACAGGUUGAAUUUGCCUCUGAUAUCCCUGUCUCCUGAAAUCCCCCUGCAGCUCCACCAAAGGAAUUUUUAAUGGCCUGGAGAGAAUGGGAGAGGACAACUCAGAGAAAACUUCUGGAAUCUGGAAAGGAAAUAAGAGUGUUAACUGACUUAGCAGACAUGAGGAAGCAGAAUCUUAAGUCAGCAGGGGAAAGCAGAUUUACACCACAAAAUCCCCCCCAAGGGCUGUGAAAUGCUAACCUAGAGCACCUCUAGAAAUAGGGGAUAAGGGAGGAGCCUAAAGAAGGGUUAAUGGAA
rnacentral:lncRNA from 1 species